GACGGGUGAGACCGGAAGUGGAGCCGUCCUGAGGGCCCACGGGCGAGACCGGAAGUGCAGCCGUCCUGAGGGCCGACGGGCGAGACCAGAAGUGGAGCGGUCCUCAGGGUGCGGGCGGGAGACUCGAGUGGAACCGAGGAAGCACGAGAGGCCGCCACCCCCAGGGCAGGAAGAGCCACGCCACGAGGAUGAUCUCUAUGACAAAGCCGGGGGUGACACGCACAGCAGACACCAUGUCAACCGUGGCAGAUACACAGACCCGCACAGCGUGCACACCAACAAGAGGACAACAGGAGACACCAGAAUGUCCCGGCCGAUCUGCUGUUCAGGUCACUUGUCAAAUGUUCCCUCCGUCUGCAGUCACGGCUGCUGCACCAUCUGCUUUGACCUCACUCCAGCCGCUCUAACUUUGCUCAUUCAGCCGGAGCAAAGCACCUCUCUCCCCCUGCCACUGCCCCUGCUGGCUCCCUUCCAGGAAGGACCUCGCUUAAAGGUGUCUUCUUUGAAGCUACCUGCUUUGCUGAUCUGAACUCUCUUCAAGGAAAACAACAACAAAACACCAUUGUUUCCAAAAUCAAGAAGCGCUUAUGCAAAAUAAAAUAUUUCAAAUAGUUUGCAUUUUGAAAUUG